ensembl:rRNA 5S_rRNA 5S ribosomal RNA
GUCUACGGCCAUACCACCCUGAACGGGCCUGAUCUCAUCUAAUCUCGGAAGCUAAGCAGGGUCGGGCCUGGUUAGUACUUGGAUGGGGAACGUGGGAGUCAGCCUGCCUCUGUGUUCU